UACAUCUCAAGCAAUUCUACAUUUUCCGGAAAUUUUCCAGUGGGAGGAAUCUGUACCAAUAACCAGAAGUACCAGAAUUUCCGUUUAAAUGGUAAACAACCGAUAGGACAAAUAAAACACCGCUUAGAAUCGCAGCUUGUGAGACAUACACCAAGUAGGCUCUCUUUGAAAUAAUAUAUCACGUUAAGUGUAGUGGACGGUAUGACAAAUAUGGUAUGACAUAUAGAACAACUUUGACAAGCCGUAUGUGACACUCAGCUUUACCGCUAAUUUAUAUUCUAAAACCGCACUAAGAGCAGUGCAACGCAUGAGCCAUAAAACCCAACAACACAUCUAGACCCCGCCCACCCAAUGACUCAUAACAAAGCUCCGCCUGGCGCUUUAAGAUGAGAAAGACAGGCCUUACUCCAAUAAAGCACGACGAAAAAUCCCUUCGCCAGAUGCUUUAAGAAAAGCAAGACAGGCCUUAUUCCAAUAAAAAAGGACGAAUAAUUUCUUAGCCAGAUGCUUUAAGAGCUAACCGAGCUUGCCUGAAACAUUUGAGCUGCGGAUGGAGAAAAGGAAUCCAAAGAAGGCGGCUGGUAGCGUGGCACGAACCGACUGGAAUUUUAAAAUUCUUAAUAAAAACGCCGUAAUAAAAAAAUUUAAGGAAGGAUGUAAACAAAUAAGCAACAUCCGCACAUCAGCAGCAUUUGAGCUGCGGAUUGAGAAAAUAAAUCCAAAGCAGGCGGCUCGUAGCGUAGCACGUACCGCCUGGGAUUUUAAAAUUCUUAAUAAAAACGCCGUAAUAAAAAAGGUCAAGUAAGGAUGUAAACAAAUAAGCAAUAAGCUAUAAUGCAUUAUUGAUGAAAAAAAAUAAAGAAAAUUGUAUCGAAGAUGUAUGGCUAGGGUAA